rnacentral:rRNA from 1 species
GUGAACGCUGGCGGUAGGCCUAACACAUGCAAGUCGAACGGCAGCACAGUAAGAGCUUGCUCUUACGGGUGGCGAGUGGCGGACGGGUGAGGAAUACAUCGGAAUCUACUUUUUCGUGGGGGAUAACGUAGGGAAACUUACGCUAAUACCGCAUACGACCUACGGGUGAAAGCAGGGGAUCUUCGGACCUUGCGCGAUUGAAUGAGCCGAUGUCGGAUUAGCUAGUUGGCGGGGUAAAGGCCCACCAAGGCGUCGAUCCGUAGCUGGUCUGAGAGGAUGAUCAGCCACACUGGAACUGAGACACGGUCCAGACUCCUACGGGAGGCAGCAGUGGGGAAUAUUGGACAAUGGGCGCAAGCCUGAUCCAGCCAUACCGCGUGGGUGAAGAAGGCCUUCGGGUUGUAAAGCCCUUUUGUUGGGAAAGAAAAGCAGCAGGUUAAUACCCCGCUGUUCUGACGGUACCCAAAGAAUAAGCACCGGCUAACUUCGUG